rnacentral:rRNA from 1 species
GGUCAAGUGAAUAAGUGCAUCAGGCGGAUGCCUUGGCGAUGAUAGGCGACGAAGGACGUGUAAGCCUGCGAAAAGCGCGGGGGAGCUGGCAAUAAAGCUAUGAUUCCGCGAUGUCCGAAUGGGGAAACCCACUGCAUUCUGUGCAGUAUCCUAAGUUGAAUACAUAGGCUUAGAGAAGCGAACCCGGAGAACUGAACCAUCUAAGUACCCGGAGGAAAAGAAAUCAACCGAGAUUCCGCAAGUAGUGGCGAGCGAACGCGGAGGAGCCUGUACGUAAUAACUGUCGAGAUAGAAGAACAAGCUGGGAAGCUUGACCAUAGCGGGUGACAGUCCCGUAUUCGAAAUCUCAACAGCGGUACUAAGCGUACGAAAAGUAGGGCGGGACACGUGAAAUCCUGUCUGAAUAUGGGGGGCGCAUCCUCCAAGGCUAAAUACUCAUCAUCGACCGAUAGUGAACCAGUACCGUGAGGGAAAGGCGAAAAGAACCCCGGGAGGGGAGUGAAACAGAACCUGAAACCUGAUGCAUACAAACAGUGGGAGCGCCCUAGUGGUGUGACUGCGUACCUUUUGUAUAAUGGGUCAACGACUUACAUUCAGUAGCGAGCUUAACCGGAUAGGGGAGGCGUAGGGAAACCGAGUCUUAAUAGGGCGAUGAGUUGCUGGGUGCAGACCCGAAACCGAGUGAUCUAUCCAUGGCCAGGUUGAAGGUGCCGUAACAGGUACUGGAGGACCGAACCCACGCAUGUUGCAAAAUGCGGGGAUGAGCUGUGGGUAGGGGUGAAAGGCUAAACAAACUCGGAGAUAGCUGGUUCUCCCCGAAAACUAUUUAGGUAGUGCCUCGAGCAAGACACUGAUGGGGGUAAAGCACUGUUAUGGCUAGGGGGUUAUUGCAACUUACCAACCCAUGGCAAACUCAGAAUACCAUCAAGUGGUUCCUCGGGAGACAGACAGCGGGUGCUAACGUCCGUUGUCAAGAGGGAAACAACCCAGACCGCCGGCUAAGGUCCCAAAUGAUAGAUUAAGUGGUAAACGAAGUGGGAAGGCACAGACAGCCAGGAUGUUGGCUUAGAAGCAGCCAUCAUUUAAAGAAAGCGUAAUAGCUCACUGGUCGAGUCGUCCUGCGCGGAAGAUGUAACGGGGCUCAAAUCUAUAACCGAAGCUGCGGAUGCCGGUUUACCGGCAUGGUAGGGGAGCGUUCUGUAGGCUGAUGAAGGUGCAUUGUAAAGUGUGCUGGAGGUAUCAGAAGUGCGAAUGUUGACAUGAGUAGCGAUAAAGCGGGUGAAAAGCCCGCUCGCCGAAAGCCCAAGGUUUCCUACGCAACGUUCAUCGGCGUAGGGUGAGUCGGCCCCUAAGGCGAGGCAGAAAUGCGUAGUCGAUGGGAAACAGGUUAAUAUUCCUGUACUUGAUUCAAAUGCGAUGUGGGGACGGAGAAGGUUAGGUUGGCAAGCUGUUGGAAUAGCUUGUUUAAGCCGGUAGGUGGAAGACUUAGGCAAAUCCGGGUUUUCUUAACACCGAGAAGUGAUGACGAGUGUCUACGGACACGAAGCAACCGAUACCACGCUUCCAGGAAAAGCCACUAAGCUUCAGUUUGAAUCGAACCGUACCGCAAACCGACACAGGUGGGUAGGAUGAGAAUUCUAAGGCGCUUGAGAGAACUCGGGAGAAGGAACUCGGCAAAUUGAUACCGUAACUUCGGGAGAAGGUAUGCCCUCUAAGGUUAAGGACUUGCUCCGUAAGCCCCGGAGGGUCGCAGAGAAUAGGUGGCUGCGACUGUUUAUUAAAAACACAGCACUCUGCCAACACGAAAGUGGACGUAUAGGGUGUGACGCCUGCCCGGUGCCGGAAGGUUAAUUGAAGAUGUGCAAGCAUCGGAUCGAAGCCCCGGUAAACGGCGGCCGUAACUAUAACGGUCCUAAGGUAGCGAAAUUCCUUGUCGGGUAAGUUCCGACCCGCACGAAUGGCGUAACGAUGGCCACACUGUCUCCUCCCGAGACUCAGCGAAGUUGAAGUGGUUGUGAAGAUGCAAUCUACCCGCUGCUAGACGGAAAGACCCCGUGAACCUUUACUGUAGCUUUGCAUUGGACUUUGAAGUCACUUGUGUAGGAUAGGUGGGAGGCUUGGAAGCAGAGACGCCAGUCUCUGUGGAGUCGUCCUUGAAAUACCACCCUGGUGUCUUUGAGGUUCUAACCCAGACCCGUCAUCCGGGUCGGGGACCGUGCAUGGUAGGCAGUUUGACUGGGGCGGUCUCCUCCCAAAGCGUAACGGAGGAGUUCGAAGGUUACCUAGGUCCGGUCGGAAAUCGGACUGAUAGUGCAAUGGCAAAAGGUAGCUUAACUGCGAGACCGACAAGUCGGGCAGGUGCGAAAGCAGGACAUAGUGAUCCGGUGGUUCUGUAUGGAAGGGCCAUCGCUCAACGGAUAAAAGGUACUCCGGGGAUAACAGGCUGAUUCCGCCCAAGAGUUCAUAUCGACGGCGGAGUUUGGCACCUCGAUGUCGGCUCAUCACAUCCUGGGGCUGUAGUCGGUCCCAAGGGUAUGGCUGUUCGCCAUUUAAAGUGGUACGUGAGCUGGGUUUAAAACGUCGUGAGACAGUUUGGUCCCUAUCUGCAGUGGGCGUUGGAAGUUUGACGGGGGCUGCUCCUAGUACGAGAGGACCGGAGUGGACGAACCUCUGGUGUACCGGUUGUAACGCCAGUUGCAUAGCCGGGUAGCUAAGUUCGGAAGAGAUAAGCGCUGAAAGCAUCUAAGCGCGAAACUCGCCUGAAGAUGAGACUUCCCUUGCGGUUUAACCGCACUAAAGGGUCGUUCGAGACCAGGACGUUGAUAGGUGGGGUGUGGAAGCGCGGUAACGCGUGAAGCUAACCCAUACUAAUUGCCCGUGAGGCUUGACUCU